rnacentral:rRNA from 1 species
AUUGAACGCUGGCGGCAUGCUUUACACAUGCAAGUCGAACGGUAACAGGCCGCAAGGUGCUGACGAGUGGCGAACGGGUGAGUAAUGCAUCGGAACGUGCCCAGUCGUGGGGGAUAACGCAGCGAAAGCUGCGCUAAUACCGCAUACGAUCUCUGGAUGAAAGCGGGGGACCGAAAGGCCUCGCGCGAUUGGAGCGGCCGAUGUCAGAUUAGGUAGUUGGUGGGGUAAAGGCCCACCAAGCCAACGAUCUGUAGCUGGUCUGAGAGGACGACCAGCCACACUGGGACUGAGACACGGCCCAGACUCCUACGGGAGGCAGCAGUGGGGAAGUUUGGACAAUGGGCGCAAGCCUGAUCCAGCAAUGCCGCGUGCAGGAAGAAGGCCUUCGGGUUGUAAACUGCUUUUAUACGGAACGAAACGGUCCGGGUUAAUACCCUGGGCUAAUGACGGUACCGUAAGAAUAAGCACCGGCUAACUACGUGCCAGCAGCCGCAGUAAAAC